GAAUUUGAAGAUCAAGAUGAUGAAGCCAGAGUUCAGUAUGAGGGUUUUCGACCUGGGAUGUACGUCCGCGUUGAGAUUGAAAAUGUUCCCUGUGAAUUUGUGCAGAACAUUGACCCCCAUUACCCCAUUAUCCUGGGUGGCUUGGGCAACAGCGAGGGAAAUGUUGGAUACGUGCAGAUGCGUCUGAAGAAACAUCGCUGGUAUAAGAAAAUCCUCAAGUCCCGAGAUCCAAUCAUAUUUUCUGUAGGGUGGAGGAGGUUUCAGACCAUCCCGCUCUAUUAUAUCGAAGACCACAAUGGAAGACAAAGGCUUCUAAAGUAUACCCCACAGCACAUGCAUUGUGGAGCAGCCUUUUGGGGUAAAAUAUGAUUACAAUAACUUGCCUAUUGCCGAGAUUAAACCUUACAGGCUGCGUUAUUUUAGCUUUGUGCUUUUCCUUUCAUAAAAUUCCACUCCUAAGAUUUUUCUCUUUUCUGGGAGCGGGGAGGUGGUUUGGAGUAUAUAUGUAAAUCUAUAUCCAAAUCUAAAUGUCCAUAUCCAGUAUGUUAAACUAGAAUCUAAAAUUUGUGGUUUGCUAUAUUUCUUUUUUUCCUUUUCCUUUAAGACCCUAUCACUCCACAGGGAACUGGUUUCUUGGCAAUACAGUCUGUCAGUGGCAUAAUGGUAACUAUCUUGGAUGAUUUC
rnacentral:lncRNA from 1 species